CUACGGGAGGCAGCAGUGGGGAAUAUUGGACAAUGGGCGCAAGCCUGAUCCAGCCAUGCCGCGUGAGUGAUGAAGGCCUUAGGGUUGUAAUGCUCUUUUAGCAGGGAAGAUAAUGACGGUACCUGCAGAAUAAGCCCCGGCUAACUUCGUGCCAGCAGCCGCGGUAAUACGAAGGGGGCUAGCGUUGUUCGGAAUUACUGGGCGUAAAGCGCACGUAGGCGGAUUGCCAAGUCAGGGGUGAAAUCCCGGGGCUCAACCUCGGAACUGCCUUUGAUACUGUCAGUCUAGAGUCCGGAAGAGGUGGGUGGAAUUCCUAGUGUAGAGGUGAAAUUCGCAGAUAUUAGGAAGAACACCGGUGGCGAAGGCGGCCCACUGGUCCGGAACUGACGCUGAGGUGCGAAAGCGUGGGGAGCAAACAGGAUUAGAAACCCGAGUAGUCC
rnacentral:rRNA from 1 species